AUUUUGCUUCAGUUGGAACCCUCUCUUUUUUUCCAGUCCGUGCCCUCCUCAUCCAUCCCUCUCCCCCACUCUGUUCUUCCUGUGUUGUUUCCCUUCACCUGCCAUGCUUGGCUUCGUGCGGGGCUUUUGUUGUCGUUGUCUCCUGGCCACCGACCUCCCUGGUGUUGUCCUUCUGAAGUUUCUUUGGAUCUGAAGGAGCUGCACCACUGCCCCAUCUGCAGCAGUUCCUGCUCUUCCCUUUCAGCCUUUUCUCUGCCCUGAGGAAGGAGCUCUGCUUGGAGCAGCUGCAGGAGGCAAUCACCUUCCCUUGGAGGAAAGGGCAGGUCGGGGUUUGCACCAAACUUUGGGCCAACAGUGGAGGCUCAAGGUGCACCUGAGAGGAGAGCUGAGGCGCUGCAGCAGGAACAGCCACCAGCACAUCGCUGCGGAUGGGAGGGAGGAAGGGCAGAGGCAGCACAGUGCCCAGCAGCCCUCAGGGAUCGGGGUGCACCCGGGGUCAUCCUGUGCUCCUUCCCCCAGCGCUGACAUGGGAACGGCCCCAGUGCAGCCACCCACCGCCGCUCGCUGUGAUCCAGGGUCCUGAGCUGACCUCGCUCUGCUGCACCCACGCAGGGCAGGGAUGGCUGAAUUACUGCUCCCUGCUGCGCUCUGUACAUCCUCCUCCUGGCCGGGUGGCCUCAGGAUCUGUGGGGCUGGAUGGCUGCGUGCUCUCAGGUCAAACAGUAGCUCCAUUUUUUCCCUUGUGAAGGACCAAGAGCUUGCCCUGGUUCCAAGGAAGUAGCUGUGGAUUUUAAUUUAAUUUUAUUUUUUCCCUCCUCCGUUCUUCUUUCUGAAUCUUUUUGGGAUUUUGGGCUCUUAAUGAGGAUGCUUGGACCAGCACAGGGUGCAGCCCCAUGCAGAGGGGUGAACGCCUCUGGAGAAGCAAUGGGAGCAGCACACCAAGAGCUGGCAACCGCAGUGCCUUGGGUCUGAAACUGGGAGCUGUGUCCCUUCACAUCGCAUGGCUGCAUCCUCCCCAGCACAUCCCAUAGGGAUUAGGUGGGAUUCUGGGGGGCGCAAGGCCAAACCGCAGUGAGGGGAACGUCAAGAAGGGAAAAAUGUCACCCUCAGAAACAAUUAAACUGCUUAAUAAAAUCCGUUGCCUCUCGGAGUGCUCGCUGUUCUUUUCCGUUUGCCUUGGCUCAGCCACACUUACAUCAUGGCCCUAUCGCGGUGCUGCCGAGUGGACGGGUUUGAUUGCACAGGAAACCGGCGCUUUGGCAAACUUCUCUGCCCCGGUAAAGCCAGGCCAAGAGCUUAAUGCCUUUGCUUUGCAGAAAAAAAUCUUCCCUGUCCUUUCCCUCUUUCCUUUCUGCAACCCCUUAACCAUCACCCGCCAACUAGGCGGCCACCCCUCACAUGCCUCCUGCUCCAAAGCGCCUGAGAUGCAGAUUAAUUCCCCUUAAAUCAUGUUGUUUCACGUCCGUGGACCGUGUGUCCCCUCCCACCCUGUAGAGCUGAAGCACUGGAAGGUGCUGUGUGGAAACUGCAACGUUAAAAAAGGAUAUUUAUGUAAUGGAAAUGUCCUUUGAUUUUUUUUUUUUUAAGAGUUAUGCCUUCAUUACAAAAAAACUAAGGAUGUUCUUUCAUCUAAAAAGCACCGUAGCCUUGGGCACGUGUAUGAAUGUGUUGGG
rnacentral:lncRNA from 1 species